UUUUUUUAAGGGAUGCCUCUCAGAUACCUAUAACCAUUGACUUAAUUAAAACUUUCUCCGUUGCUUCCGGGCUAAACUUAAACCUUAAAAAAUGUGAAUUGCUUGCUCUUAAGAAUUGCGAUCUACCGUCCAUAUGUAAUAUUCCUGUAAAGGACUCUAUAACCUAUCUAGGAGUUGUUAUUACCAAAGAUAGAGAUUCCAGAUGUGGUUUAAACUUCAACCCUAUUAUUGACAAAACUAAAAAAAGUUAAAUCAGUGGUUACAGCGAGACCUAUCAGUAAGAGCUAGAAUCCUUCUUACCAAGGCUGAGGGCAUCUCCCGGCUCACUGAUGCAGCUCUGUCCUUGGAUGUAAACAAAAAGACUCCUAAACAAAUCGACAAAAUGUUAUUUAAUUUUAUUUGGAGGAAUAAAAGCCACUAUAUUAAAAAUGCUGUGAUAAUGAACCCGUAUGAUAAGGGCAGCCUUAACUUCCUUGAUUUUUCAACCUUAAAUUACACUUUCAAAAUUAACAGGCUAAAACAAUUUAUAAAGAAUCCGUUUUCAAUUUGGAAUUUCAUCCCUAACUUUAUCUUCUCCAAAUUAGGGGGCCUUCAUUUUGUUUUAUUCUGUAAUUAUAAUAUUGAGAAAAUACAAAAUAGUCAAACUUUCACAAGCAGAUGCUUCUCUCAUGGUCUAUGAUCUAUAAACACAAUUUCUCUCCUCAAGAUUUAAAUAUAUGGAAUAACAGAGAAAUAUUGUACAAAAACAAGUCUUUAUUUUUUGAGAACUGGUUUUGCACAUGAUUUACACCUGGUCAGCCAACUGCUCGACUGUAAUGGUAUUUUAAUUUCAUAUCAGGAAUUUUUGAUGUAGUAUGGUAUUCCAAUUCCUCCAAGGGAAUUUGCUAUUGUCAUGGAUGCAAUCCCUACAGGAAUUAUAUUUGCACUUUUAUCACUUGUUUCAUUGACCCCAAGUUUUCCCUUUGUAUUGAACAUGUAUUGUUUGGUUUCUUCAAUUACACCUCUAGUCAAGCAAACCAAUAUUUUAUUGUAAACCUUAUUAUUUUAUUAGCUAAAUGGCAUAUUCAUAAAUGUAAAUACUCGAAUCAGAAACCGCUUUUUGUUGUGUUUGAGAAUGAAGCCAAGCAGUAUGUGGGGAAUAUUCUAUGUUCUAGAAAUGGGAAAGCUAUUAAAACACUCAGUGUGUGUGCUCUUUAUAAUAUUUUUAUUUAAUUUAAUGCUGUAUUUUGUAUUUUUUGUGUCUGUAUUUUGUAUAUCUGCCAUUUCUGUACCCCCUGGCUGU